UACGUAGGUGGCGAGCGUUGUCCGGAUUUACUGGGCGUAAAGAGCGCGCAGGCGGUCGUUCAAGUCGCGUGUGAAAGCCCCCGGCUCAACUGGGGAGGGUCACGCGAUACUGUUCGACUCGAAGGCAGGAGAGGGAAGCAGAAUUCCCGGUGUAGUGGUGAAAUGCGUAGAUAUCGGGAGGAAUACCAGUGGCGAAGGCGGCUUCCUGGCCUGUUCUUGACGCUGAGGCGCGAAAGCUAGGGUAGCAAACGGG
rnacentral:rRNA from 1 species